CUGGGCGACCAUAGUGGCCUGGUUCCACCCGAUCCCAUUUCGAACUCGGAAGUUAAGAAGGCCCGCGUUCCAAUUUGUACUGUACUUCCGUACGGGAAGGUUGGUUAGUUGCCCACU
rnacentral:rRNA from 1 species